AUGUUCUUGUUUUUGCUGUGAAUUCACUGAUUUAGAAAUAUUAUUUUUUACGUAAGCGAUCAUAGCGGGGAAUUACCACAUUUUAAACUAGAUAAAAAUAAAACAACAUAUAGUGUUUAUUAGAUGUAGAGAACUGCUUGUGAAUUGGUAGAAAAACCUGUAUGUUGAUACAAUAUUUAAAUCAGAAUAAUUUAUUCAAGAUAACAACUUGAGUAUAAAAUAGCAACACAUCCAACCACAUUUGUUAAAACAAAAUGUUGAAACUCUACUUAAUCACACUGACAAUUUUUCUAGCUAAGGCACAAUCGAAGCAAAAUGUGACAGAUAUUAUUCCAAAUCCUCCAUUUAUUUGUUUUGUGCCUUGUCCUUCCAAUUCUUGUUGCACAGAUGAAAUCUACAUUCCCAAUUACGAGAAAGAUGCUUGUGGCUGUACAGGUUCAUGCAUGAAAUGUCAAGAAUUUUGCAAUAGAGUUUUUUGUCCCGCCAAAGAUGAAGAUGUUCAUCCAGCUUUGAUCAGUUGCAAAUGUUGCGGAUAUUAAAAAAAAAACAUACUGUAUUA